rnacentral:lncRNA from 1 species
CCGCGGCGGGCCGGGUCUCCAGGGAGGACCUGAGUUUUCUUCACCCAUUGUCAGGGAGGCGCCAUCGCCCUGGCUUUGGGGCUGGGGCCUCCGGGGAGGUUCCGGUAGGGGCGUUGGAGAGGCCGCUCUUUUUGCAAGGCCCGAGACGGCGGGCCUUGCGCAGGCCGCCCUAUUCCGCGCCCUCAGGGCGUCAGUAUCAGCCUGAGGCUGGAUACCCCCGCUGGGCCCAGAUGCCCCCGCUGGGCCCGGAGCAUCCUCCGGCGCUGCCCUCCCAGAGCCACGCAGAGGCUGAGGUGGCGCGGGGGCGGCCCUGGCUCCGCGAGAAGCGGCGGCAGCGAGGGCUGGAGGACCCGGGCUGCGGGGCUCCGGGGCGUCUGGCCUGGGUGGGACUGAGCCCAUCCAGGGACUGGGACUCCGGGGUUCUGGUGUAGGUGGAUCCGGGGCAGGCUCAGGACCAAGUCCCUCUCCUUCCACCAAGGAGCGCCCAGAGGCCGGCGGGAGCUCCAGGUUCACCUCCUCCUCCUCCAGGAAAUCCCACUUCCAACUGGAUGUCUGGAUGAACUACUGAAAGCUGCUGAGUGUCCUGCAGCAGGUGAGCUGUGGCCAGAGCCCAAGGAUGAAGGGGGCUCCCUCACUCUGUGACUGUGAAGAGGAACCCUGAGGUGUAGCAGGCCCAGGCCCCAGAAGUAUGGAAAAAAUGAGCUUGACUACAACACAAAUGAAUCCACUCAAAUGUUGGCAAGUGGAGCAGAGUCCCAGAACAGUCUGCAAUCUCUACAGGUACAGAAACACCCCCAGUUCAAGGAUCUUCACACCUGGAUUUAGGCCUACUCCUGCAACUACCCCAGGCACCAAUUUGAUCUUCUACUACUUUGCAGACAUCUCUUCUGCAAACACCAGACAAAUUGAGACAAUGACCUUCCACAGGACCCAAAUCACCUCUUACUGCAGGAAAGAAGAUCCAGUGAGAAAAUUAGUCCACAAAUGGAAUGUAAAUCCAUAAACACUCUUAAGUAACAGAAUAAAUUUAGUAUGA